rnacentral:lncRNA from 10 species
CUUGCAUCAGCAAAUGCCUUUGAUUAGCCUGGCCAGCAGAAAUAACCUACUGAGCCUUGAGUAGACGUGGCAGACAGAAAUCUAAACAUCACCCAAAGCAGUGAAGUCCCAGGCAUUAAUCUUCAACAAAUAUUUAUUGAAAUCUGGCAGUCCAGACAUGCUUAUUCCAGGAGAAGCUGACAAGUAAAAGAGGGAGAAAGAGAGACAGGCAUGCGACCAAGCACAGUUUAUUUUCACAAGCUGCAUGCUAGCGAACAAAGACCUAGGAGAGCACAUCAAAAAAGGCAAUAUGUUCUGGCUGGGGGCUUGGAGCAGUCUGGAAGAACUCACAGAAGUGAUGACAUUCAAAGAAGGCCUGAGGAAGUAAAGAAAUUCACCGGGCAGAGAAAGAAGGGAAGGACAUUUUACAUCAGAGUGGGAACAGCACGAGCAUAUCAUGGCAGCGAAGAGCAUAUGGCACUUUUAUGAUAGAACGUAAGAUGCAGAGGUGGGAAGGUGGCAGAGGACAUUCAAAAGUGACGUUGCAGUCAUAUUCUGAGGGAUCUGACAGAUGAGCUGUUAAGAAAUAUGGACUCUGUUCUAUCAGUAUUAUGAAAUCAUUGAAUCAUUCAUUCAUUGAAAUGGUAUUUUCGGAGGACUUACUAUGUGCUAAGUACUGUGUCAGCCUCUGAAGAUUAAAAUAAAAAGGAAGGCCCUCCAGGGACUCACAGUCUGGUAGGGAGAAAGGCAGGCAAACAGUCACAGUACGGAUAGCUGAGAAGUCCGUAUCAUUUUCAAUGCUACCAAUGGAUGACUGGAAGAAAGGAAAGAAUUGGCAGUUUGGACUUCACGCUAGGGAAACACUUCAAGAGAAAGAAAAUUGAAGUUUCUGAUUUCAAGAUUUCUUAAGUCUUCAUACCAUGCCUUACAUGAUGUUCUCCUGACAACUUGUGACUACAAACAGAGGAUUACCGCAGAAUCAUAAGCAAACACGGGGACAGAUUGAUUUUGAGAUAUUUUCUAAGACAGACAGUUGACUGCAGAAACAUGCAGACUGGAGCUUGUGUUUUGAAAACAAGCAUGCUAGAGACUAAACAGGACAUGAAAGGUUUGCCUUUCUUGGUCUAAAACACAUUUCUUUUAAAGAUUUACCAUCAUAAAGACUUCUUUUUGAAAAGCUUUGUUGAAAACCAGCUUGUAAAUUUAAAAAUGCUCAAGAAAAAAUUGUUUGUCGAUGCAAAAGUUCAGCCAGGUUGCUUGGAAUGAUGACCAGAUAUGUCGCUAGAAUUCUCUCUUCUAUUUUCUUUCCUCUAUUUAGGCUCUGGCUCAUGCCUUGGUUUUGGAUGACAUGAGCUUCACCUUGCGGGGUUUUGGAGGGUGUUAUCUGGAAAAUACAUGACAUAGGCAUGUCAGAAGAAUUCAGAUCUUCCUUCUUAGGUAAAAGGGGUUAAAAUACUCUUAAUUAAUCAUCUAUCAGGGCAUUGGGCUGUCAGUACAGAUUACAAUUUUUUUUUUUUUUUUGAGAUGGAGUCUCGUUCUGUCACCCAGCCUGGAGUGCAGUGGCACGAUCUUGGCUCACUGCAAACUCUGCCUCCUGGGUUCAAGCAAUUCUCCCACCUCAGUCUCCCGAGCAGCUGGGAUUACAGGUGUGCACCACCACGUCCAGCUAAUUUUUGUCUUUUUAGUAGAAAUGGGGGUUUCACCCUGUUGGCCAAGUUGGUCUUGAACUCCUGACCUCAGGUGAUCCACCUGCCUCAGCCUCCCAAAAUACUGGGAUUACAGGCAUGAGCCACCAUGUCCGACCAACAAUGUUUUAAGUAGUUAAGACUGCAGCAUUUGGAACCAGGGGCAAAUGUUUGAGUGGUCUUGAGCAAGUUACCUAAACUCUCAACAAAGUGGAGACUAUACUAUAUUACCUGAUUCACUCAGCUGUUAUGAAGACUAAGCAAAGAAAGGUACGUGAAGUGCCUAACCCACAUUGUCCAGAAUAUGCAAAGGCCUCAACACAUGGAUGAAAAUAUUGCCUGUCUGUCUGGGUGCCUCGGUUGGAUUUAUUAGUCAGGCUUGCAUUACAGCUAUAGAAAACUCCAAGCAGAGUUAUUGAUUGCUCUUGUAGUCAACACCCCAUACCAACAAAUACUUUGGAAACUUGUUGGAAAAAUACUCUUUCUGGUAGUUCUGGACUAUGCUCAGGGAUCACUUGGGAGUUCUAGAAGCUGGGAAGAAUCUCUCGAAGCUAAAAGAUCAAAAACAAUACAGGGAAACACGGAGACGAAUGGAUGUGAGAUUCUUCCACGUGGGCGAAACAAGACAGUCAUGACUAAUGCUAGAUUUACUCUUCCUUGGCUGAGAGCAUGGUGUUUAUUCGAAGUUGAAUCUAGAGUGAAAGAGAAUAUACAUGUAUGCAAAACAUCAUAAGGGAGAGUUGUCUUAAAGACAGUGGCUCCUCAUCUCAAAUUCAUUAGCAUAUACAUGCCCACACAAGAACACAAAAGAACUUUCUGCCCCAACCAAUUAAAAAUAUCAAAAAGGAGAAAUGAAAACAGAUUUUCUGUCUUACCAAAAUAUUAUUUUUAUUACUUUCAUUUCCUAGGUUAUGGGUGUUAAUAAAUGCUAAAAGCAUUUCUAAAUCUAGAAAUCCAUCCCACAAGAUGUUUUUCUAGAGUCCACAAAAAUCACACAGUUAUGUUAAUUUGCGAGUAAGGAAACUAUGAACAACAGAGGUAGAGUUAAUAUGAGUAGAGAAAGGGUCUAACACCAAGUGGCACAAAUGCAAUUAAAUCCUGGUUCACGUGACCCCCCCAAUUCACAACUUUACUUUUAUCAACAUCCCACCAUUCAGGAAACUUUUAGCGCACUAAAUUCCUUUAUUUUGUGAAAAAAAUUAUCAUGUGAAAUGACUGCUAUAUAGGACAGUCAAUUAAAUUUGAGUGUCAAAAACUGACUUUCUUUAAACAUAGCAAAACCCUCCAAAGGUAAGCAAUCUAAAAGUAUUUUUUUCUUGAUCAGUAAGUCUAAACUCUGCUAUUAACACCAUCUAUCAGGUUCUCAUGAUGACAUUGCAAGCAAUGCCAGAACUAGAGCCCAGGUGGCUAUGACUCAACAACUGGGUAUCAUUGGCAGAAAGAAAGAAAUCUGAGGUUUCAAAAUGGAAUGAGAAAGGAAAUGAAGGCCACUUUCCCCUUACUCCACAAUGAAUGAAGUAUUGAUACUGGGACUCACCUGGUGCAAGAAUGAAGAAACAGCUGGAUUUUAUUUGUUCCUUUUGCCUGCUCCUUAGAACAAUGGAACCUGCACUAACCAGCUUCACAAAGAGCUUUGAUUGAUGGCAGCUUUUCAGAUACCUCUGUGGCUUAGUCUUAUCUUGUUUGGUAUCUCUAUUGUUUCUGAACUGUAAACACCAAAGGAAGGACCCAUUCAAAAUGCAAGUACUAGGCUUAUUCACACGACUCAAGAUAUUCUUUUCCAAAGUUGAGUAAUAGAAUGUGUCAUAAAGACAUCAAAAUCUGGUAGAUUUGAUUUUAAAAUUUGAUUCAUGACUGUCUUGACUGUCUUGUUUCGCCCACGUGGAAGAAGCCCAUACUCAUUCUCCUCUGUGUUUUCCUACAUUGUUUUCAAUUGUUUAGCUUUGGGGUGAUUCUGCCCAGCUUUUAAGACCCCCAAGUGAUCCCUGAGCAUAGCCCAGAACUGCCAGAAAGAGUGGCUUCUGAAGUAUUUGUCAGUAAGGGGUGUUGACUAGAAGAGCAAUCAGGUAGGUAUCAAAAAACUGCUUGGAAUUUUCUGUAGCUGCAAUGCAAGCCUGACUUGAGUAAAUCUAUCUGAGGUAUCCAGACAGACAGGCAAUAUUUCCAUCCAUGCAGAGUCAUAGACUGACAUACAUUUUGAGGUCUUUUCAUAUUCCAGCCAUUGCAUUAGGUACUUCAUGUACAUUUGCUUGCUUAGGAGAACUUCGAAAUCUUAGGUCUCAUUAAGAGUCUUUGAUCAUUUACCCACAUGCAUGCAUACUCACACACAAACACACACAAAAAGCACUGGACUGGACUGCCUUUGAGUUGAAUGCUGAUCUUGAGAUAACCCCUCGUCUGCAUUUUUACCACCCAGAUUUCAACUGGUUAAACUUUGUGCCUGUUUCACCUGCUAGAAAAUUAUUGAGCAAUAAUGAUUUUAGAUAACAAUUUUAAAAGAAUCUGUAUAUCUCUAAUUCCAAAAAUUUAAAAACUAUUCAUACCCAUGGGGAAGAUGUUUCCCUUACAAUUAUGUAUUCUUUGUAACGUCACCCUUGUAGAACAAAAUUCCUUUCUCUUUUUUUUGAGACAGGGUCUUGCUCUGUCACCCAGGAUGGAAUGCAGUGGAGUGAUCUCAGCUCACUGCAACCUUUGUCUCCUGGGUUCAAGUGAUUCUCAUGCCUCAGCCUCCAAAGUAGCUGGGAUUACAGGAUCAUGCCACCACACAUGGCUAAUUUUUGUAUUUUUAGUAGAGAGAGAUUUUCACCAUGUUGGCCAGGCUGAUCUCAAACUCCUGGCCUCAAGCGACAUCCCGCCUUGGCUUCCCAAAGUGUGGGGAUUGCAGGUGUGAGCCACCAUGCCCAGCCCAAAAUUUCUUUGUAGUGUCACCUUAAAUAUCUCUAUGGAUGAAACAGAAACUUGCUCAAUCUGUUACCUCAUUUUUGGUCUGAAGUCUUGAAUAAUAAGAUACCAGGUUUAUGAAGCAAUAUAUGAGUUGUUUGGAACACAAUGAAACUCUGUUUAUUGUAUGCAACUUCAGAUAAGCUAAAUAAGGAUUUAAACUAACACUCCUUUUUGUUUGUAUAUUUGCUAUCGCUAGGACUUCCUUUUUCAAUUUAAAGAUUGUGUCUUAUGUGGGAGAUCCAUUCCAACCAAGCAAAACAUCUAGCAGACUACAAAGGAUUUAGCUUGUCUUGUUUGUUUACAUAACUGAGUUGAG